CCCUUAUCCUUUGUUGCCAGCGGUCCGGCCGGGAACUCAAAGGAGACUGCCAGUGAUAAACUGGAGGAAGGUGGGGAUGACGUCAAGUCAUCAUGGCCCUUACGACCAGGGCUACACACGUGCUACAAUGGCAUAUACAAAGAGAAGCGACCUCGCGAGAGCAAGCGGACCUCAUAAAGUAUGUCGUAGUCCGGAUUGGAGUCUGCAACUCGACUCCAUGAAGUCGGAAUCGCUAGUAAUCGUAGAUCAGAAUGCUACGGUGAAUACGUUCCCGGGCCUUGUACACACCGCCCGUCACACCAUGGGAGUGGGUUGCAAAAGAAGUAGGUAGCUUAACCUUCGGGAGGGCGCUUACCACUUUGUGAUUCAUGACUGGGGUGAAGUCGUAACAAGGUAACCGUAGGGGAACCUGCGGUUGGAUCAC
rnacentral:rRNA from 1 species